AAAACGACUCUCGGCAACGGAUAUCUCGGCUCUCGCAUCGAUGAAGAACGUAGCGAAAUGCGAUACUUGGUGUGAAUUGCAGAAUCCCGUGAACCAUCGAGUCUUUGAACGCAAGUUGCGCCCAAAGCCUUCUGGUUGAGGGMMCGUCUGCCUGGGURNCACAC
rnacentral:rRNA from 1 species